CCCUUAGACGUUCUGGGCCGCACGCGCGCUACACUGACCAGUGCAACAAGCAUCCGUCCUUGGCCGACAGGCUCGGGCAAUCUUUGAACGCUGGUCGUGAUGGGGAUAGACUUUUGCAAUUUUUGGUCUUCAACGAGGAAUUCCUAGUAAACGCAAGUCAUCAACUUGCGUUGAUUACGUCCCUGCCCUUUGUACACACCGCCCGUCGCUCCUACCGAUUGAAUGGUCCGGUGAAGCGUUCGGACCGUGGCCUUUGGACGGUUCGCCGUCUGUUGGCUGCGGGAAGUUCGUUAAACCUUAUCAUUUAGAGGAAGGAGAAGUCGUAACA
rnacentral:rRNA from 1 species